rnacentral:rRNA from 1 species
GGUGCGAGGGGCGCAUCGGAAGCAACACUCCAGGAUUCUGUCGUUGCAUGUGAACGGCCAGGAGAUUUCGGACAAGGAAGCAUGUCCGAGGCGAUCUAUGACCACUUCUCGGCUGCGCUGGGCACUCCUGACUCCCGCGCGUUCACCCUGGACCUUGAUGGAUUGGAUCCUCGCACCUUCGACCUGGUUGGGCUGGAUGUCCCAUUCUUGGAGGACGAGAUUUGGACGACGAUCAAGUCACUGCCGUCCGACAAGUCACCCGGUCCCGAUGGCUUCUCUCCGGAGUUUCUUUGCGCUUGCUGGGAUAUCAUCAAGCCCGACAUUUGUGCCCUGUUCGCCAAGCUCUACUCCCUCAAUGGCCGGGGCUUCCAGAAACUCAACGAGGUAUUCGUCACGCUGCUCCCCAAGCGCCCGAAUGCGGCUUGUAUUGCGGACUACCGCCGCAUCAGCCUUAUCCACAUCAUCGCCAAGCUUGUGGCCAAGGUUCUCUUCCUACGCCUCGCCCCGCGCCUCGGAGAGAUGAUCUCGACGAACCAGAGCGCCUUCAUCUCUGGAAGAUGCAUCCAUGAUAACUUCCUCCUCGUGCAACAAAUGGCGCGCCGCCUCCAUAAUCUCAAGCUGUCCCGCGUCAUGCUCAAGUUGGACAUUGCCCGCGCGUUUGAUUCAGUCUCUUGGCCCUUCCUCCUCGACAUCCUGCGACAUCUGGGUUUUGGCCCAUGUUGGAGGGAGUGGAUAUCCAUCCUCCUCGGCACGGCAAGCACACGGGUCCUCCUCAACGGCUGCGCCGGGCCCCCUAUCGCGCACCACAAGGGGCUCCGUCAGGGCGACCCUGUUUUC